GGCUACAGAACGAACGCUGGCGGCAUGCCUAACACAUGCAAGUCGAACGAGACCUUCGGGUCUAGUGGCGCACGGGUGCGUAACGCGUGGGAAUCUGCCCUUGCUUCGGAAUAACAGUUAGAAAUGACUGCUAAUACCGGAUGAUGUCUUCGGACCAAAGAUUUAUCGCCCUGAGAUGAGCCCGCGUAGGAUUAGCUAGUUGGUGAGGUAAAGGCUCACCAAGGCGACGAUCCUUAGCUGGUCUGAGAGGAUGAUCAGCCACACUGGGACUGAGACACGGCCCAGACUCCUACGGGAGGCAGCAGUGGGGAAUAUUGGACAAUGGGCGAAAGCCUGAUCCAGCAAUGCCGCGUGAGUGAUGAAGGCCUUAGGGUUGUAAAGCUCUUUUACCCGGGAUGAUAAUGACAGUACCGGGAGAAUAAGCUCCGGCUAACUCCGUG
rnacentral:rRNA from 1 species